UGAUAACACAGGUUCCUGUUGGAGGAAGACCCAAAUGUCAGUUACCAUCACUGAUAUGAACAAAAUAGUCGGAUUUGGUUGCCUGAGAUUUCAACUCAACAUCAAAGGGUGAUGCCUUUCAGUGCCCAGUCCAGGCCCUUGCGGUACUGCAGUCCAUAGUCUUGGAACUCUAUAGUGCCAGUCUGAGGCCAGGCCAGAGGCAGGGAACUGCCUUCCACGGUCCACACAGCCUGGCUUUUAUUUAAAAAAAAUCCGAAACGGAACAAUGUACACCAGUCACCACAUCAACUGGAUAUUUUCUUUUUCCAGAGCAUGUACUGCAAGGUUCCACAGGUCUCCAGCUUCCAGAGGGGUACGAUAACCUUUAACCACCAGCCUGAGGGGAACAGCGAUGAUAAGUUGAGUGUGCAAAUUAAGAACACCUUCCUAAUAUUGACUUGCCCCUGGUGUCAUGGAAAGAGCAUGUGUUCUUCAGGUUUUGUACACUCAGUGUAUAAGUUAUUCACAAACACCCAUGUACAUUAUAAGAUUUACAGUAUAAAAGAUUUUUCAAACAAGUCAA